GGGCCCAUCGGGUUGGCUUCACCGAGCGGCUUCGUUGCUUUUGCUCCGACGGAAUCUGAGGCGGAGAAAAGAACCGCUCCUUCGGCAGGAUGUGUUUUUAAACUACAAUGGCAUUUUCCAUGAAACCACUGAAUUUCUGCAAACUUGCAUACAUCAGUGCAAUAACUUUGAGUUUUAGCAACUUUCUUGGUAAGUAUUUUUCAUAUACUAUAGAGACCUUGCUAGAGAUGAGCUCUUAUUGAUAGCAACAUCCCUGUAAGUGACAUAAAUCCAGUCCAUCGAUCUAUCUAAUGUUAUGCCAAAGCAUGAUUAAGUGUGAGAUAUCUAAAGAUCAAGCAAGCAUCUGUUUCACACACAUUCCCUACUUUAUUUUAUUCCUUUCUUGCAUAGCUGGGAUGAGAAUUUUGGAAGUGUUUAUUUUAGGUGAUUUUUUAAAGACUGCUGAUGUUAAAAUGAGCCCACUUUAUAAUAGAUUAUAAAGCUGUGUUACUUAAAUUAACCAAAUCUAAUACAACUAUAAUGUCAUGAUUGCAUAUAACAAUCUAGUUUUAAAGAAAAAUGUCGAUGGGGAGGAGGGAACACACAAAGCUGAUGCUUAAUUGAACCCUUCAGCUUGGCCUUGUCUGGGAUUUCUGUUCCAUUCAUUAAAAGUACAUCAAAUUCAUCACCGUCCGUCACCAACAAAAAGUGGAGGCUACAAAGUUAAUUACCAGCCUCCAGCAUCAUCCUUAUCUCCAAGGGUUCCUUGGUCCCCAUAUCAGGCAAUAGGUAUUCUUAGAAAAUAAACAUGCUGAUUGAUUGCAAUCUAAUGCUUGAGUUAAAUUA